rnacentral:misc_RNA from 1 species
AACGCACCUUGCGCCCUUUGGCUAUUCUGAAGGGCAUGCCUGUUUGAGUAUCAUGAACACCUCAACUCCUCAUGGUUUGCCAUGACGAGCUUGGACUUUGGGGGUCUUGCUGGCCUAUGGUUGGCUCCUCUCAAAUGGAUCAGCUUGCCAGUGUUUGGUGGCAUCACGGGUGUGAUAACUAUCUACGCUUGUGGUUUUCCACCAGGUAACCUUCAGUGAUGGAGGUUUGCUGGGGCUUAUAAAUGUCUCUCCUCAGUGAGGACAGCUCUUUGAACGUUUGAUCUCAAAUCAGGUAGGACUACCCGCUGAACUUAA